AACGAACGCUGGCGGCAGGCUUAACACAUGCAAGUCGAGCGCCCCGCAAGGGGAGCGGCAGACGGGUGAGUAACGCGUGGGAAUCUACCCAUCCCUACGGAAUAGCUCCGGGAAACUGGAAUUAAUACCGUGUACGCCCUACGGGGGAAAGAUUUAUCGGGGUAUGAUGAGCCCGCGUUGGAUUAGCUAGUUGGUGGGGUAAAGGCCUACCAAGGCGACGAUCCAUAGCUGGUCUGAGAGGAUGAUCAGCCACAUUGGGACUGAGACACGGCCCAAACUCCUACGGGAGGCAGCAGUGGGGAAUAUUGGACAAUGGGCGCAAGCCUGAUCCGGCCAUGCCGCGUGAGUGAUGAAGGUCUUAGGAUUGUAAAGCUCUUUCACCGAUGAAGAUAAUGACGGUAGUCGGAGAAGAAGCCCCGGCUAACUUCGUGCCAGCCGCCGCAGUAACAC
rnacentral:rRNA from 1 species